AGCGUAGGCGGACAUUUAAGUCAGGGGUGAAAUCCCGGGGCUCAACCUCGGAAUUGCCUUUGGUACUGGGUGUCUUGAGUAUGAGAGAGGUGUGUGGAACUCCGAGUGUAGAGGUGAAAUUCGUAGAUAUUCGGAAGAACACCAGUGGCGAGGGCGACACCCUGGCUCAUUACUGACGCUGAGGCUCGAAAGCGUGGGGAGCAAACA
rnacentral:rRNA from 1 species